rnacentral:lncRNA from 1 species
CAACAAGGAAGAUUCAUCUGGGGGUGCCACACCUAGAGCCUUGCCCCAUCCCAGUCAAAUCUGGAUGCUGACAUUUUAGGGAAAAACUAGGCUGAUACAUAUUGCUGGGAGGGGAAAAUCUGAUAGAGACCCUAUCAUGUAUAAAUAUAUAAUUUCUAUAAAGAUUUUGUAAGCAAAGCUGAGUUGAAUGAGGGAGUUUCCUGAUGACUUUGAUGAGAACUUUGGAAGAAGUUGAGGAAACUGAGGCCUGGGGAAGUUAAGUCCUUUGCCAAAAGUCAUAUAGAUUGUAAGUAUCAAACCUGGAGUCAGGAAGAUUCAUCUCCCUGAC